rnacentral:rRNA from 1 species
GACAGAGGGGGCAAGCGUUGCUCGGAAUUACUGGGCGUAAAGGGCGCGUAGGCGGGAUGGCAAGUCGGUCGUGAAAUCCUUCGACUCAACCGAAGAACGUCGAUCGAUACUGCUGUUCUUGAGGGUUGCAGAGGAGACUGGAAUUCCCGGUGUAGCGGUGAAAUGUGUAGAGAUCGGGAGGAACACCGGUGGCGAAGGCGGGUCUCUGGGCAAUUCCUGACGCUGAGGCGCGAAAGCGUGGGGAGCAAACGGG